GCGAUUCGCCCUUCGGGGUGCACCAGGCGCGAAAACUUUACAAUGCUGGCAACAGCGAUAAGGGGACCUCGAGUGCCAGGAUACAAUCUUGGCUGUCGCGAUGCCUAAAAAGCAUUGCAUAGCAAGGGCCGGGCAAGACCGGUGCCAGCCGCCGCGGUAACACCGGCGGCUCGAGUGGUAACCGCUAUUAUUGGGUCUAAAGGGUCUGUAGCCGGCCGGAUAAGUCUUUUGGGAAAUCCAGCUGCUCAACAGUUGGGCUUUCAGAAGAUACUGUUCGGCUCGAGACCGGGAGAGGUGAGAGGUACUUCAGGGGUAGGGGUGAAAUCUUGUAAUCCUUGAAGGACCACCAGUGGCGAAGGCGUCUCACCAGAACGGAUCUGACGGCAAGGGACGAAAGCUAGGGGCACGAACCGGAUUAGAUACCCGGGUAGUCCUAGCCGUAAACGAUACUCGCUAGGUGUCAGCCACGGUGCGACCGUGGUUGGUGCCGUAGGGAAGCCGUGAAGCGAGCCACCUGGGAAGUACGGCCGCAAGGCUGAAACUUAAAGGAAUUGGCGGGGGAGCAC
rnacentral:rRNA from 1 species